rnacentral:lncRNA from 1 species
GGCUUUUCAGAACUUUAUCUGAACAGGAACUAAAAGUAAGAUGACCAUCUGAUCUAAUUUGCCUCAUAUGUCAUAGUUUAUGCCUAUUGCCUGAGUAUAGAUAUUAGUACACACACACACACACACACACACACACACACACACACUGGUGAAGGUUUGGAAUCAUGAGCCAUGUACAAAAUUACAAUUUACAGAAAUGAGGUGGAUUUAAUUCAUUCAUGAUUUUUUUUUUAACUUUGACAUUGUGGUAGAGAGCUCUUCAGUGACCCUCAUGAAAAUCCAAAUAAGCUGUUAUUGUGGUGGAACAUGGGCUUGCUUGGAGUCAAGGGGAUGGCACAAGUAACUACUGAGGGCUCCCUUCAAUCUUAUGAAUGUUUGAAAUAGAUUAAUGGAAGGUGACAUAUGGUGAAAUAGAUCAUAGCUUUUGUGGUUAAAUGAAGAUGAUGAUGAUUAAGAUAGCAAUAAUACAUAUAAUAAGAGCUAAUACCUGAUAUGUGUUCUGUGUUAGGCAUUAUUAUACAUAUUUUAUAUUAAUAUACUGCUUUAAUCUUAUAGUAACUUUAAGAGGUAAAUAUUAUCAUUAUUUUAGAUAAAGAAAAGCAGACACAAAGAAGUUACAUAACUUUCCCAAGGCAUAGAAUUAUUAUAUGAGAACAUAAAGCCUUACCUUGUAUCCUAUGGUUUGGGCAGACAAAGACUGCAGGUAUAUGGGUCUCCAGCUUUGACUUUCUUUCUCCUUACUAAAACGACCACCAAAGUGCCUUUUAAUUAGAAUGCUUAUAGAGUUUAUUAUCCAAAUGGGGACAGUUUUGAGAAUGAAAAGGGGUGUUAUUAAUAGUUGCGUUGGGACGAUCGGCAUAAAUGAAAUGAGGAUGUGGUACAAACUAGUUCAUACAGUCACCAUACACACUCAAAUCAAGUCCUUAAGAGUCUGAGAUACACUCUAGUUUAAGUCUACUCUCACAACAGCAACAGCAUUAAAAGAAGGCAUUUUGAUGUUAUUCAGAAGUAGCACAUAAACACUGUGCAACCAUAGAAUGGGUUGUCUGAAAAAGAGUUGGGGAAAACUGUGAAGAUUCUAAGAUUUUAUCUUGCUUCCCAACUAACAAGUUAGCCUUCCAUGAUUUCAUGGAUGCUGAGAGAAGGCAAAUGAUCCUGGGUUAGAGACAGGACUUCAUUACUUAUAGAAGGGCAAGCAGCAGAAGCCUCAAUGUGUGUUGAUUUUCUCCGGUUCUCCCAGUCCCAUGGGGUGGGCGGGGGGAAUGCAAGAUGGCCCAGUCAGAUGCUGCACAGAGUGGGGGUUUGCUUUACAGCUGAUCGAGGAACAUAGAGCUUAGGAACCCAAACCUUUUAUAAUGCAUGGCAAGAAAACCCAUGUGGACUUUUUCUCUAGAGAGAGAGAAACAUAUCUUUUUUAUAUGGGCAGCAAAUGAACCAGCCUGUUGCUCCUAGGAAGGCUCUAUCUCUGUCUUUCAAGGAUGUUUGUUCUACAAACAUCUUUAAAAAGUUAGCCAGUGCCUGUGUUAUGGUUUAGAUAUGAGGUAUCACCCAAAAGCUCAUGAGUAAGACCGUGCAAGAAUGUUCAGAGCUGAAAUGAUUGGAUUAUGAGAGCCUAAUCAGUGGAUUGAUCCACCGAUAUGGAUUAACUGGGUGGUAACCGUAGGCAGGUAGGGUCCGGCUGGGGGAGGUCACUGGGGCAUGCCUUUGGGGUUUACAUUUUGUCCCUGCUGAGUGGGGCUCUCUCUCUGCUCCCUGGUGCCGUGUCCUGCACUGCUCCACACCCUUUCAAACUCAGGCCCAGAGCAGUGGAGCUGGCCAUCUAUGGAGUGAGGCUUCGAAACUGUGAACCCCAAACAAACUUUUCCUUCUCUAAGAUUGUUCUUUUCAACCCUUUUGGUCAUAGUGAUGAUAAAGCUGACUAAAACAGUCUGUGUUUUUAAAACAUGAGAAACCCAAGAAGGACUGUCUCCCACACCAGGAAGAGCCUCAACAUCAGGAGUGCGUACAAAGCGUUUUGCUGGGAUUUCUGUGUUAAAUGGAGGACAGAAUAGACAACAUCCAUAGUGCCUGUCAAGUUGAGCUCCAGUGAGGUUCUAGUUCUCUUUCUCUUGCUUUUGGAAGAAGCUGAGGUUAAGAGAGGGAAAAUGAUGGGAAUGAGUGAAUCACAAGUCCACCAUCGUCCUUUUUCCAUUCGAUUCUUUUCCCUCAUUAAUACUGAGCUUUUGUUAGCAGAGGUUGGAAAAUGAAUACCCGAGUUGCUCAUGGUGAUUGUUUUCCAUCAGAAGAUUGGUCAGAUGAUUAUUAGCAGAAGGACACAGACUUAUUAGAAUUACUAUUAGUGAAGAUGAUAAAUAUACUUUUUCUACCAUCAAAAGAACUUACCAUGAGAAUUCUAAAAUGUUUGAAAAAUAGAGACACAAAAUAAAAUAAUCCUUCUAAUCUUACUACUCUAUUGUGACCA